GUGGAUAGACUGAGAAUGUGUUUUAUAUGCUAAUGUUGCACUGUAGAAAAUAGUCUUUGUGAUGUAGUUCAGUGGCUCUCAAACUCAGUCAUGGGCGAACCCCUGGUUUUCACAUAAAAAUUGGUUAUACAUUUUUAACUGAUAAAAAAGACUGAGGCAAAUCAGUGGGCUCCUAAUUAAGCUGUUGAACACGCAUUCUACUAGAUUAUUAUUAGGAGCCUAUUGAUUCAAGUCUUUCAUUUGAUCUGUAAAAAAAAUGUUUUCCCUGUCUUUAUGUAAUCAUUUGGAAUAUAGCGUAAAUAUUGGAUUUGUAUUAUUCAUGUUCAUGGAUACUGUAACUAUUUAUGAGAUAUUAUUUUGAUUAUGAGGUUAAAUAAUCCUUCUAAACAUGAGGAACAUGAACAUGAGAAAUGAACACAGCUUGAUAAAAUGUUAGAAUUGCAAUUGUGGUUGAAAUGAAAACUAGCAUACACAGGGGUGCCCAAGAAUUGAGUCUGAGAAUCAAUGAUGUAGUUGUAUUGUACAGUUUAAACGAUUUGAAUUUACAUUGCAUGAACAGUCAACAGUCAAAGAAAUAUUGGUAACUGAACCUUCAUCAAUGUGUAGAAAGAUAAUGUUGUUUUGUCAAUAAGGUUUCAAAGUCCAUGAGUAAGUAUACUACAGUAUUCGCUGAAUUUGUUCAGUCCAUUUGCGAAACAGCUGAAAAUGAAAUGUGCAUGCUCCUUCAGAUUGCAAUCACUUGAAAAAAAAAAAUCAUACAACCUGUUCAAAUAUACUGUGUAAUGAAUAACAAUAAUGAUUCUGCAUAAUUUGUGAUUUAAUUCGAAGUGGCUGUGUAUUCUGCAACCAUUUGCAAUUAUAUGUAUUUGGAUAAUGUCCUAGUUACCUAAUGCCAUUUUAUCAUUCUUUAGCCAAGUUUGUUGUUUAUUACAGCAAACACUGUCAGCAUAAUAAUUAAACUGACUUGUUCAACUUGUUUUUGAGUUAAGUACGGGGCGUACCAGUUCAAAGGAGAAUCAACACCUGUUUAAAUGAAGUCGGUUUUAAAGACAAAUUAAAACCACAGGACUGUUGGACUAAACGCAGGUGUACAUUUGUAUCUGAUAAGACUACUAAGUGUUAUUGAUGCUUAAUGCAUAACUGAACAUUUCCAUUUAUAUUAAUAUUUCAUUUUGUUAAUAUGUUUAUUAUAUGUUAAUAUUAUCAUGACAUUUCUCUGUGGUGUGAUCCCGGUUAAGACCUGUGCUAUCAGUGCAUGAACAGUCGAUACUGAAUGCCUGGAAUCUCACAGUAAUGUAAUGAGGUGAAAUGAUAUAGGGCUCACAAGUAUACCAUUGUAUGUCAUGUGUGGGUGUAUGUAUGUAUGCUUUGGUUUUGUGUUGUAGAUCACUUUAAAAUGUAUGUUACUCAUUGUGAGAUUAUUCAGUUCAGAAGUUAUUUUUCUUUGAUUCUCAGUUCAAGGCAAGUGUUAUGUUGGCAAGUUCAGAGUUCACCGGAAUUAAUGAUGAAAGAAAAGCAAAUGUUGUAAUGGGUCUAUUAAACGGUCAAUAACUAACAUACUGUAUUUUACCAGUAUUUUACCAUGGGCCUAACACAAGUAAAAUCAGUAACAUACUGUAUCAUGUUUGGUAGUGGGUUUAAUAAAUGUAACAUAACUAAUAUUGUAAGUAAUAUCUUUCAGCGGGAAAUCCACGGGAGCCGGUGUUAACCAUACUUGACAAUCCAGGCCAGCCGAGUGUUUGCUUGGCCACGGGGUUCUUCCCUCAAAAAAAAGGCCCCAUGGAUCUGAUGCCUGAGGGGGGCCCGAAACAAAGGCUUUCCACUGACCUGGCCGCACUGUCCUCGGACAAAAAAUACGUCUAUGUGGGAUUAUCCAACAGUGAAAAAUCCUUGGAAAACUGCAGCAUGGCUGGCAGUAAAGCCGAAAAAGAAGCCCCCAUGCCGGAACCUGAAGCUACCGUACCUGUAAUCAGCACAAUAAAGGAGGAUCAGUGUAAUAUAACUGCUGCUGAUCUUAAAAGAAACAGCACCAAAAAUAAUGAUUCUCCGAAGGUGAACUUCAUGUCUCUGGUAGUAACUUGCUUGAGGAUAGUGUUUGCUAAAACUGUGGCUUUCAACGUGUUGAUAACCCUGAAGGCUGUGGUGUUCUAAUGAUUCCAGGGAACGAGAGACCGAGCUGGCGAGCUCUGUGAAGCAGAAACUGAAAUGUCUGAAAUGACUGCUUAUCCGUAUCAUUUCAUAACUUUUCUUCAGUGCAAUGCAUUCCUGUAUGUAAACCUAUGCUAUGCUUACGGUAUGCUGUAUCUGCGUUUGUGUUAUAUCUGGGAGUAACAGUCCAGUACAUCUAAAGAGGAGUGAUUGAAAUAUGUUCUUAAUAUUUAAAUGCCCCACGUAUACAAUUUUGUGUAUUAACUUAGUUUAGUGUCCUCCCUUUUGCAAAAAUAUUUGUCAAAUUAGAAAAUAAAUAAGUAAUAUAUAUAUAUACAAAUUGCUGAAACUUUACAAUAAUUAUGCAAUGCAUGCUGUUUGUAUUGCUGUUGAUUGCCCAUUGUCUGUACUGGACCGUUUUAGAAUAUCUGAGACAUGAUAUGAAAGCCUUUAUACAUAUUUUAUGCUUCAGUGUAUAGUAUUUACACAAAAUGAUAAGCAGUUUCUGAUUAAAAUGACCAUGAUUAGCCUGAUGCAUGAUUUAAAUGUUGUAGUUAUAAUGCAAUCUAUAUAAUUAUAUGUUGAAUGGCUUCAUUGUAUUAUUAUUAUUUGCAUUUCUUAGCCUGUCCAGAAUAUAUUAAUAUGUGUUACAAUAAAGCAAAUGUCAUUUUA